AGUUGAAAAGGGGCUAGGUGUAAAACCCUAGUCGCCCUAUGCGCCUCUACACCUCCCCACGCCCUUACCCCUCCCCUCUAUGUUGUCACCGCCAUGAUGUCGGCAAGUAUGGUGGAUUCCAAAAAAAAAAAGGACGGAGCAUUGAAUGCUCGUCCUUUUUUGCCCCAUUUUUUGCUCAUUUUGUAUGCAAAAACUGUAUUAAGUGUGGUUCGAGUUUGAGGAUGGUUUUGUCUUCAAAUCCGUUCUUGAUUUUGGCUGCAUCCAAAAAAGGUAAGCAGGUAGACGGGUCCGGUUCUUAGAAGCUUCACCAGCGGUUCACAGAGAGUGCUCCAGUCAUUCCGGAGCCACUGUUUAUUGACUUAUGAGCUCGAGAAGUAGACGUUGGACGUUUAGGAAGACUUCCAGGUAUGGGUAGACUGGCUGGUGACCUUUCAUCUUAGGAUCUCUUGUUCAGCCUGAGUUAGAGUGCUCCAUUGUUCUGGAGCUAUCGAGUUCAUCUUGGUACUUGAUCUUUUGGAUAUUGAUUUGCGUAUUCAGGGGUACAGUGGGGCCCUGUCUCGUCUUAUGAUACAGUUAUAAUCUUUAGAGGUCUGUAGAUAUUCGUGGGUCUUAUAUAUGUUAGCUAAUUGAGUCAACAUGGUUUUUGAUAUACUUUGUAUAUAUUUGGCAGCCUCGUCGGCUUGCUUACUUAUU